GACGAACGCUGGCGGCGUGCUUAACACAUGCAAGUCGAACGGAAAGGCCCUGCUUUUGUGGGGUGCUCGAGUGGCGAACGGGUGAGUAACACGUGAGUAACCUGCCCUUGACUUUGGGAUAACUUCAGGAAACUGGGGCUAAUACCGGAUAGGAGCUCCUGCUGCAUGGUGGGGGUUGGAAAGUUUCGGCGGUUGGGGAUGGACUCGCGGCUUAUCAGCUUGUUGGUUGGGUAGUGGCUUACCAAGGCUUUGACGGGUAGCCGGCCUGAGAGGGUGAGCGGGCACAUUGGGACUGAGAUACGGCGCAGACUCCUACGGGAGGCAGCAGUGGGGAAUAUUGCACAAUGGGCGGAAGCCUGAUGAAGAAACGCCGCGUGCGGGAUGACGGCCUUCAGGUUGUAAACCGCUUUCGCCUGUGACGAAGCGUGAGUGACAGUAAUAGGUAAAGAAGCACCGGCUAACUACGUG
rnacentral:rRNA from 1 species